AUUGAACGCUGGCGGCAGGCCUAACACAUGCAAGUCGAACGCGUGGUGGACGGGGGAGUAAUGUCUGGGAAACUGCCCGAUGGAGGGGGAUAUCUACUGGAAACGGUAGCAAAUACCGCAUACCAUCGGAUGUGCCCCGAUGGGAUUAGCUAGUAGGUGGGGUAACGGCUCACCUAGGCGACGAUCCCUAGCUGGUCUGAGAGGAUGACCAGCCACACUGGAACUGAGACACGGUCCAGACUCCUACGGGAGGCAGCAGUGGGGAAUAUUGCACAAUGGGCGCAAGCCUGAUGCAGCCAUGCCGCGUGUAUGAAGAAGGCCUUCGGGUUGUAAAGUACUUUCAGCGAGGAGGCGUUACUCGCAGAAGAAGCACCGGCUAACUCCGUGCCAGCAGCCGCGGUAAUUC
rnacentral:rRNA from 1 species